CGAGCGAAUGGAUUAAGAGCUUGCUCUUAUGAAGUUAGCGGCGGACGGGUGAGUAACACGUGGGUAACCUGCCCAUAAGACUGGGAUAACUCCGGGAAACCGGGGCUAAUACCGGAUAACAUUUUGAACCGCAUGGUUCGAAAUUGAAAGGCGGCUUCGGCUGUCACUUAUGGAUGGACCCGCGUCGCAUUAGCUAGUUGGUGAGGUAACGGCUCACCAAGGCAACGAUGCGUAGCCGACCUGAGAGGGUGAUCGGCCACACUGGGACUGAGACACGGCCCAGACUCCUACGGGAGGCAGCAGUAGGGAAUCUUCCGCAAUGGACGAAAGUCUGACGGAGCAACGCCGCGUGAGUGAUGAAGGCUUUCGGGUCGUAAAACUCUGUUGUUAGGGAAGAACAAGUGCUAGUUGAAUAAGCUGGCACCUUGACGGUACCUAACCAGAAAGCCACGGCUAACUACGUGCCAGCAGCCGCGGUAAUACGUAGGUGGCAAGCGUUAUCCGGAAUUAUUGGGCGUAAAGCGCGCGCAGGUGGUUUCUUAAGUCUGAUGUGAAAGCCCACGGCUCAACCGUGGAGGGUCAUUGGAAACUGGGGAGACUUGAGUGCAGAAGAGGAAGAGUGGAAUUCCAUGUGUAGCGGUGAAAUGCGUAGAGAUAUGGAGGAACACCAGUGGCGAAAGCGACUUUCUGGUCUGUAACUGACACUGACGCGCGAAAGCAUGGGGAGCAAACAGAUUAGAUACCCU
rnacentral:rRNA from 1 species